UACGAAGGGGGCUAGCGUUGUUCGGAAUUACUGGGCGUAAAGCGCGCGCAGGCGGUCUUCCAAGUCAGUGGUGAAAGCCCGGAGCUCAACUCCGGAAUUGCCAUUGAAACUGUUGGACUUGAGGAUGAGAGAGGUGAGUGGAAUUCCCAGUGUAGAGGUGAAAUUCGUAGAUAUUCGCAAGAACACCGGUGGCGAAGGCGGCUCACUGGCCCGGAACUGACGCUGAGGCACGAAAGCGUGGGGAGCAAACAGG
rnacentral:rRNA from 1 species